CUUGGGGGGGGGUCCCUCAGCCCAGAUUGUGAGAGGGCACAGGCCAGGUCGAGGGACCCCCACAGUGCACC
rnacentral:pre_miRNA from 1 species